rnacentral:rRNA from 1 species
GACGAACGCUGGCGGCGCGCUUAACACAUGCAAGUCGAACGGAAAGGCCUGCUUUCCCUUGUGGAUUGCGGGUACUCGAGUGGCGAACGGGUGAGUAACACGUGAGUGAUCUGCCCCCAACUUGGGUAUAAGCCUGGGAAACUGGGUCUAAUUCCCGAUAGGACUGCAGGGUGGUGCCUGUGGUGGAAAACGAUUUUCUAGUGGUUGGGGAUGAGCUCGCGGCCUAUCAGCUUGUUGGUGGGGUAAUGGCCUACCAAGGCGGCGACGGGUAGCCGGCCUGGGAGGGUGGACGGCCACAUUGGGACUGAGAUACGGCCCAGACUCCUACGGGAGGCAGCAGUGGGGAAUAUUGCACAAUGGGGGGAAGCCUGAUGCAGCGACGCCGCGUGGGGGAUGACGGCCUUCGGGUUGUAAACUCCUUUCGACCGCGAGGAAGCCACCUGGUUGGAAGGGUGGUGACGGUAGUGGUAGAAGAAGCACCGGCUAACUACGUG